rnacentral:lncRNA from 1 species
UGCGGGCCGGGCGCUCGGGCCGGGAAACGUUCUCGGAACCGGGAGGCUCGGCGGGCUUGAGAAAAGAGGGACAUCCCCAACCCCCGGUUCCCGGGGAGCAUCUGGGAAUGUAGAGAAGUUAGUGAAGCUGACGUGAAAUUUCGCAGAGUAGGACUUGGAGAGGAAUUGCCCUGGGCUGAGUAAACAUUGACCUGAGACGGCUCCGCGCUUGAA